rnacentral:rRNA from 1 species
UAAUACGUAGGCAGCAAGCGUUGUUCGGAAUUACUGGGCGUAAAGCGAGUGUAGGCGGUUCGAUAAGUUUGGUGUGAAAUCUCCCGGCUCAACUGGGAGGGUGCGCCGAAGACUGUCGAGCUAGAGUGUGGGAGAGGUAGGCGGAAUUCCUGGUGUAGCGGUGAAAUGCGUAGAUAUCAGGAGGAACACCUGCGGUGUAGACGGCUUACUGGACCACGACUGACGCUGCAACUCGAAAGUGUGGGGAGCAAACAGGAUUAGAUACCCUGGUAGUCCACACCCUAAACGAUGCAUACUUGGUGUGAGCGAUUCAUUUCGUUCGUGCCGGAGCUAACGCGUUAAGUAUGCCGCCUGGGGAGUACGGUCGCAAGGCUG